rnacentral:piRNA from 1 species
UAAUACCAAGAUGGUAUGGUCCCACCUC